rnacentral:rRNA from 1 species
CAGUCGCCACGGGAAUACGGAGGGUGCAAGCGUUGUCCGGAUUCACUGGGUUUAAAGGGUGCGUAGGCGGGCAGGUAAGUCAGUGGUGAAAUCUUCGAGCUUAACUCGGAAACUGCCGUUGAUACUAUCUGUCUUGAAUAACGUUGAGGUGAGCGGAAUAUGUCAUGUAGCGGUGAAAUGCUUAGAUAUGACAUAGAACACCGAUUGCGAAGGCAGCUCACUAAACGCUCAUUGACGCUGAGGCACGAAAGCGUGGGGAUCAAACAGGAUUAGAUACCCCAGUAGUCCCUGUCUCUUAUAC